AGCCCUACCCACCAAUGGAUGAUGAUGAGGGCGUUGACGAUGAGGCAACAUUAAGCGACGACGACGAUGCAAACAUGAUGCAGGGGAAUGGACAUGGAAAAGGAUAUGGACAUGGAAAGGGUUCCAAAAAGCAACUGUGCAUAUUCUCACCCGAGACUAGAGAGUACUGUGUUAGUCAGGCAAAGGAGCUGUGAGAAUUGAAUCCUGAUGACAUCAUCCACAUUUAUUCAAGUGUUAAAUUUUUAAGCGAAUUAAAUUUUAUGAGUUU